GCGGAUGGUUGGAUGGCCGCUGGCUAUGGUCAGAGGAAAGUCCGGACUCCACAGAGCAACGGUGCCGGGUAAUGCCCGGCCGGGGUAACCCGAGGGAAAGCGCCACAGAGAAGAGACUACCUGCCUCGCGCAAGUGGGGCGGGAAAAGGUGAAACGGUGGGGUAAGAGCCCACCGCGCCGCUGGCAACAGGGGCGGCACGGCAAGCCCCACCGGGAGCAAUGCCAAAUAGGGACCUUACGCGCGUGUCGCAGGGCGGCUUUGGCCCGAAGGUCCGGGUUGGCAGCAGGAGGCGUCGGGCGACCGGCGUCCCAGAUGAAUGGUCAUCCACCGCGAAAGCGGGGACAAAAUCCGGCUUACAGGCCAUCCGCGCAA
rnacentral:RNase_P_RNA from 1 species